rnacentral:rRNA from 1 species
UGGGGAAUAUUGGACAAUGGGCGGAAGCCUGAUCCAGCAACGCCGCGUGAGGGAUGACGGCCUUCGGGUUGUAAACCUCUUUCAGUACCGACGAAGCACCGGUGAUGGUGGUGACGGUAGGUACAGAAGAAGCACCGGCCAACUACGUGCCAGCAGCCGCGGUAAUACGUAGGGUGCGAGCGUUGUCCGGAAUUAUUGGGCGUAAAGGGCUCGUARGCGGUUUGUCGCGUCGGGAGUGAAAACACUGGGCUUAACUCAGUGCUUGCUUUCGAUACGGGCAGACUAGAGGCAUGCAGGGGAGAACGGAAUUCCUGGUGUAGCGGUGAAAUGCGCAGAUAUCAGGAGGAACACCGGUGGCGAAGGCGGUUCUCUGGGCAUGUCCUGACGCUGAGGAGCGAAAGUGUGGGGAGCGAACAGGAUUAGAUACCCUGGUAGUCCACACCGUAAACGUUGGGCGCUCAGGUGUGGGAUCCAUUCCACGGGUUCCGUGCCGCAGCUAACGCAUUAANCGCCCCGCCUGGGGAGUACGGCCGCAAGGCUA